GACGGGGGAUGCAAGUGUUAUCCGGAAUAUCUGGGCGUAAAGCGUCUGUAGGUGGUGAUGCAAGUCACUGGUGCAAAACUCUGGCUCAACCGGAGGAAAGCCAGUGAAACUGCAUGACUAGAGUGUGGGAGAGGUAGAAGGAAUUCCCUGAGUAGCGGUGAAAUGCGUAGAUACAGGGAAGAACACCGGAGGCGAAAGCGUUCUACUGGAACACAACUGACACUGAGACACGAAAGCUAGGGGAGCGAAUGGG
rnacentral:rRNA from 1 species